AGCAACAAAACUUCAUCUGAAAGUGUGGCGUCCUCUCGUUCUCUGCGCUUUCACUGGGAGCUACAAUCCCGAGCUGCUAGUGAUCAGCCAUCUUGGAUCUCUCUCCAUUUUUCUUAAUGAUAUAGAGUUGGUCAUCUUGAUUGUGAAUAGUUGGUAAAGGCUUUUUUUCUGCCACAUACGGGAAGAAGGAGCAAUCCAAUUCUAAGCAUUCUCUCAGGAGUGAACAGGAAUAGCGGCUGGUGCACAGCCCCUGAAGGAUGACGUUAUUUAUGACAACUUAGCCAAUUACCAAUGUGUCUCCUAAUAUAUUCCCUUUUAGCAAGUUGUUUGUUUAUUUUUCAGUAUAGCUUAUUAGUAGGGAAACUAGGGAUGAUAUUUUGAGAGCCAGGUUGAAAAGCAGAGACGUGUACAUUAGUUGUGAGGUUAAAAAAAAUGUUGAUUCAUUCCCAGAUAGAUUACUUAGAUUAUUAAGCGAGAACUAUAUUUGAAAUUUGAUAAGUGUUUCAAUAUUACAUUUGGUUAUCUUUUGUGAUUAGUUUCAAAGAGUUGUUUGAAAGCUCGAGAACAUUUUGGUACAGUAAAAGCACAUCUAAUGUCUUGGAAGACCAAGUUUCCUGCUGAACAGUAUUGCAGAAAAAAUUUGUUGAUCCUCGCUGUAUAGCCGGGGUUCCUAGCUCCCAGGCUGUGGACUGGUACUGGUCUGUGGCCUGUUAGGAACUGGGGUGCACAGAAGGAGGCGGAGUUUCACUGUGUCGCCCAGGCUGGAGUGCAGUGGUGUGAUCUUGGGUCACUGCAACCUCCGCCUCCCAGAUUUCAUGAGCACUGGAGGUUUGUGUUGCAGCGCUUGGUCUUCUUGGCAGCAUUUGUUGUAUAUUUGGAAACAGAAACACUAGUGACUCGAGAAGCGGUUGCAGAAAUUUUUGGCAUUGAUCCAGAUCAGGAGAAAGGAUUUCAUCUGGAUGUAGAAGAUUGUCUCUCAGGAGUUCUAAUUCUUGCCAGUGAACUGAAAAAAUUUGUUGAUCCUCGCUGUAUAGCCGGGGUUCCUAGCUCCCAGGCUGUGGACUGGUACUGGUCUGUGGCCUGUUAGGAACUGGGGUGCACAGAAGGAGAUUUCAUGAGCACUGGAGGUUUGUGUUGCAGCGCUUGGUCUUCUUGGCAGCAUUUGUUGUAUAUUUGGAAACAGAAACACUAGUGACUCGAGAAGCGGUUGCAGAAAUUUUUGGCAGUAAGUGUCUUCAUUAGUGGGAUCUGCAG